rnacentral:rRNA from 1 species
AACGAACGCUGGCGGCAGGCCUAACACAUGCAAGUCGAACGCCCUAGCAAUAGGGAGUGGCGCACGGGUGCGUAACGCGUGGGAAUAUGCCCUUCACUACGGGACAACAUCGGGAAACUGAUGCUAAUACCGUAUAAUGACUCCGGUCCAAGAUUUAUCGGUGAGGGAUUAGCCCGCGUUAGAUUAGCUAGUUGGUGAGGUAACGGCUCACCAAGGCAACGAUCUAUAGCUGGUCAGAGAGGAUGAUCAGCCACACUGGAACUGAGACACGGUCCAGACUCCUACGGGAGGCAGCAGUGAGGAAUAUUGGACAAUGGGGGAAACCCUGAUCCAGCCAUGCCGCGUGAGUGAAGAAGGCCUUCGGGUUGUAAAGCUCUUUUAGAUGUGAAGAUAAUGACGGUAGCAUCAGAAAAAGCCCCGGCUAAAUCCGUGCCAGCAGCCGCCGUAA